rnacentral:rRNA from 1 species
GACGAACGCUGGCGGCGUGCCUAAUACAUGCAAGUCGAACGCAGUGGGGACGGGUGAGUAACACGUGGGUAACCUCCCCUCAGAGGGGAUAACACUUGGAAACAGGUGCUAAACCGAUACUGAUGGAUGGACCCGCGGUGCAUUAGCUAGGUGGUGAGGUGACGGCGCACCAAGGCCACGAGGCAUAGCCGACGGGGGAGGUGGCUCGGCCACACUGGGACUGAGACACGGCCUAGACGCCUACGGGAGGCAGCAGUAGGGAAUCUUCGGCAAUGGACGAAAGUCUGACCUAGCAAAGGCGCGUGAGUGAAGAAGGUUUUCGGAUCGUAAAACUCUGUUGUUAGAGAAGCGGUAUCUACCCAGAAAGCCACGGCUAACUACGUGCCAGCAGCCGCGGUAAUAC